GAGAAAUUAUUUUAAUUAAAAUAUGAAUCUGUCAGAUUCAAGUUAUCACUUGAUAUUUCUUU
rnacentral:tRNA from 1 species